GCGGUGCUGCGAAGCAGAUAUCUACGGAGUUAAUGUGUCCAGCAGUCGAACUAAAAUGCCAUCUAUAAGUAGAUACUACAUCAGUACCUACCCUUAACCGUUGCUUCCGCAAAUAUUUCCCUGCUCAUUCUCUAGAGGUUGAUAUACGUUUCUAUAACUAGUUUCCCUUUGUGCAGAUGAGGUUGCCGGUAGACCGCAGAUACAUCAGGCGUCUAAACUACCCUUGUUGGAACGUUCGGCAGGAGGAUGAAUCGGCUUAGCAAUAUAAGGGAAAUAACUCCUGGCUGUAUAAAAGCUGAGAUUGCAGACAGCAAUCAUGCCUGAGGCAGGUAGGUAUAUUGCUCCAUCAUAGUCUAGAUGCUUCGUAGGAAGGUUGAAAUCUCAAUAAAAUU